UACGUAGGGUGCAAGCGUUAAUCGGAAUUACUGGGCGUAAAGCGUGCGCAGGCGGUUGUGCAAGACAGAUGUGAAAUCCCCCGGGCUUAACCUGGGAAUUGCAUUUGUGACUGCACGGCUAGAGUGUGUCAGAGGGGGGUAGAAUUCCACGUGUAGCAGUGAAAUGCGUAGAGAUGUGGAGGAAUACCGAUGGCGAAGGCAGGCCUCCUGGGCCAACACUGACGCUCAUGCACGAAAGCGUGGGGAGCAAACAGG
rnacentral:rRNA from 1 species